rnacentral:rRNA from 1 species
UCGAGGAUCUUCGUCAAUGGGCGAAAGCCUGAACGAGCGACGCCGCGUGCGCGAUGAAGGCCUUCGGGUUGUAAAGCGCGAAAGUGGGGACGAAGCCGAAAGGUUGACCGAUCCACAGUAAGCUCGGGCUAAGUUCGUGCCAGCAGCCGCGGUAAGACGAACCGAGCGAACGUUGUUCGGAAUCACUGGGCUUAAAGGGCGCGUAGGCGGGUAUUCAAGUCUGUGGUGAAAUCCGGCAGCUUAACUGUCGAAUUGCCAUGGAUACUGGGUAUCUCGAGGGAGGCAGGGGUGCGCGGAACUAAUGGUGGAGCGGUGAAAUGCGUUGAUAUCAUUAGGAACUCCGGUGGCGAAGGCGGCGCACUGGUCCUUUUCUGACGCUGAGGCGCGAAAGCCAGGGGAGCAAACG